GGUGCUAUAAACUGUUUAUUACCUAUUGUUCUAUAUCCAGGUCCACUCUUUUGGAGAUGAGUCAAAACCUACCAGAACUUGCCGUGUCUGUGUUCUUGGUGGAGAAAGGUCGCUCAUUGCAAAUCUUUCUGCUGCAAGCUGCUACAAGGUUGAACACUUUCAUAAGCAUGAGUACUGGGCUCUAGUUGGGAAUGCUAAGUUCUACUACAUUGAUGGAUUCUUCGUCACAGUAUAUCUCCAUAAUCCAUUCAGUUGGUAUGUGAACAUGCAGCUGCUAACAACAAGCUAAGAAGACAUGAUCCUUUAUGACAACCAGACAUGUCAUACAUAUUUUGUAAUGUCUUCUCUUUGAUCAGAUUUCAACACAUUUCUCUACUGUUUCUCCCUAGCCGUAGCAAGAAUCAAGGUUUACUGACAUCUGAAAUAUCUAUCUACUCUCAGUUGGUACAUGAUUUUUUCUAUUAAGAAUUUUUUUAUUAAGAAUCUUAGUUAUUGGAUAAGUUGAGGUUUGUUUAGUUUUAGCAACCAGAUGGAAUCUUAUAGAAUCGUCAGUUUGGUAGAUAACAUCCAUGUUGUUUCUUCUUACGUUCUUUGUUUUUGAUUUUGUAUGCAAAAUCAAUUUGUGUGA